UACGUAGGGUGCAAGCGUUGUCCGGAAUCAUUGGGCGUAAAGAGCUCGUAGGCGGCCUGUUACGUCUGCUGUGAAAUCCCGGGGCUUAACCCCGGGCGUGCAGUGGAUACGGGCAGGCUGGAGGCAGGCAGGGGAGAACGGAAUUCCCGGUGUAGCGGUGAAAUGCGCAGAUAUCGGGAGGAACACCGGUGGCGAAGGCGGUUCUCUGGGCCUGUACUGACGCUGAGGAGCGAAAGCGUGGGGAGCGAACAGG
rnacentral:rRNA from 1 species